rnacentral:rRNA from 1 species
AUUGAACGCUGGCGGCAGGCCUAACACAUGCAAGUCGAACGGAGUGGCGGACGGGUGAGUAAUACCUAGGAAUCUGCCUGGUAGAGGGGGAUAACGUCUGGAAACGGUCGCUAAUACCGCAUACUAUCAGAUGUGCCCAGUUCGGAUUAGCUAGUGGGUGGGGUAAAGGCUCACCCAGGCGACGAUCCGUAGCUGGUCUGAGAGGAUGAUCAGCCACACUGGAACUGAGACACGGUCCAGACUCCUACGGGAGGCAGCAGUGGGGAAUAUUGCACAAUGGGCGCAAGCCUGAUGCAGCCAUGCCGCGUGUAUGAAGAAGGUCUUCGGGUUGUAAAGUACUUUAAGUUGGGAGGCGUUACCGACAGAAUAAGCACCGGCUAACUCCGUGCCAGCAGCCGCGGUAAUUC